UACUUGAUGUUGAGGAAUUUAAUCGAGUGAGAUAUAUAUAACUAUCCACAACCAAUAUAUGCUGUAUCCAGUUCCAUUAUUUUUGUUAUUUCCUGAGUGGACAUGGUGAGACGUAGUAUACCAAUUACCAAUCAUUUACCAAUGUAGAAUGAAGUAUUUAAAGCGUUAAAGGCUUGUUUGUUGAACUUCCGGUCACAUUCAAAAUCCGGUUUGGAUUUUCCACUCUAGCAAAAAUCUCCUAAACCAUUGAGAACAAACGGAGAACACAUUAUUGCACGGUCGAUAAGAAGGGAAGAACGAAGAGAAUCGCUCCUAGCUAAAUGCAUUUUUACAUGCAUUUCUGUUGCUGCAGCGUCUGAUGGCGGGUGAAUUGUUGAAUUUAUAAAACAAGUUGAAAAUACUCGAAAGGGGGAGAAACAA
rnacentral:misc_RNA from 1 species